GUACUUACCUAGCAGGGAAGCCAUCAUCAUGGGGUGGUUUUUCUCGGGCAAGGCUUACCUAUUGCAUACCAGAUAUUCUGACCUCUGCAAUUUCCCAAAGGGGGAAACUUGUCUGCAUAAAUCGUGGUAGUUGGGGAUAGCAUGCAUUUUUACUAUCCUUAA